GCAAAUUAAAUCAGGUUCUGAGCAAACUAGCUUGUUUCACUGGAAACGUUAGGUAAGUAGAUGGUUUCUAUGAUUCAUUCUAGAGAAGAAGGAACAAAUGAACUUUUACUGAAAACUUACCAUAUGACUGGCAUUAUCCUGGAUGUUCUCACAAUACUUGUUACAAUGACUUUGUGAGACAGUUAUCAUUACCAGUGAAUCGGAAUGUCAGAGAGUCUCAACAGCGCAACUGAAGGCCACACAAACAGCAAGUGAGGAGUCACAAUUCAUCCGUUAGGCUGGUCUAACUAGAAUCAUGGAGCUCCUCUCGUCACCCCAGGGUCUAAGUCAGGGGUGGCCAUGUGACCAGGUGCUGGCACACAGGACAGAAGAGUAUACAAUGUGAUGACCCCACAAGCCACCAAACGAGCCCUGAACCAGACACCAAGAGGACUGAAAAAGCUGAAGUCACUAUACUCUGCGAUCUCCUGUUUCAGCAGCUUAGCCUGUAUCCUCAUCAAUGCGGUGUAUCUAAGAAACUUAAAAACCUGUGCUUUACUCUCCACAGGCUGAGAUCAUCUGGAUAGUUUGUUUGAUUUACUUUUUUUUUUCUUGUAGCACAUUACAUCUUCUCAAGCAGUAAAUUCAUCCUGGACCCUGA